CUUCGCUGUGGGAUCUAGAGCUAGAGGCGUCGCUCUAAUGGCUGCGGAGCGGAUAUAUACAGAGGUCCAGGAUUACUAUGGCAAAGAGUUGAAGAAAAAAGAAGACCUAAAAACCAAUGCCUGUUGUACUGUAGCAAGGCCUUUGCCCACAUUCGCCAGAGAAGCCCUACAAUGUGUGCAUGAGGAGGUUUCGGCAAAGUACUAUGGUUGUGGCCUGGUGAUCCCAGAAUGCCUAGAAGACUCCCGGAUUUUGGAUUUGGGCUGUGGGAGUGGAAGAGACUGUUAUAUGCUCAGUAAGAUGGUUGGGGAGAAUGGACAUGUGACCGGGGUAGACAUGACUGAAUCCCAGGUGGAAGUGGCAAAGAAGCAUAUCGAUUAUCAUAUGAACAAAUUUGGCUACCGGAAGCCCAAUGUAAACUUUAUCCAGGGCUACAUGGAGAAACUGGGUGAAGCAGGCUUGAUGGACGAAAGCUAUAACCUUGUAAUCUCCAACUGCGUGGUCAAUCUGUCCCCUGAUAAAAGAGCUGUCCUGCAUGAAGCUUAUCGUGUGUUAAAGGCAGGCGGGGAGAUGUAUUUCAGUGAUGUCUAUGCCAACCGUGACCUGCCACAGGAAACCAGGAACCAUAAAGUCUUGUGGGGUGAGUGCCUAGGGGGAGCCCUGUGGUGGAAGGAUCUGUACAAAAUUGCUGAGGAAGUUGGAUUUUUGCCACCUCGGUUGGUUGCUGCCUCUCGAAUAACCCUUGCUAACAAGGAGCUGGAAAAUGCUGUGGGUGACUUCCAGUUUGUUUCUGCUACUUUUCGCCUCUUCAAGAUCCCCAAGGAUGGGUCAGCUCAGCGGUGUGAAGCGAUUUACAAAGGAGGAAUCCCUGGGCAUGAGAAGGAACUAGAGCUUGACAUUAACUACAGGUUCAAGCAAGGAGAAGUGGUGGAUGUGGAUGAGGAGACAGCAGCUAUUCUACAGAACUCAAGAUUUUCUAGGAAAUUCCUGAUCCAGCCAGUGGGGCAGAAGGUCUCAUCCCCAGAAGGCUAUAUGCCUGGGAAGCAAAAGGGAGCUGCUGAGCUGACAAAACAGGAGCUACAGAUAGCGAUAGAUCGUUGUAGCUUCAGCAUUAGGACUUUGAACCUACAUAUUUCUAAACUCGAUCUGUAUGAACUGAGAUAACUCUGGCAGGGUUUGAUUAAACAAGCACCAGGAGGAAAGGCAUUCAAAAAGACAGAGCUUAUGUCAAGGUCUGUUUGUGGAUCACUGAGAAACCAAGUGGCAGAUAGAAGAACAAGUUCACAUAUAUCAGAUAAUUUUGUUUAAGCAUUCGUUAGUGGUGGCGGCUGGUAAGUAUUCGAGUUGGUGAGGUGGUGACCAGGGCAACUAAUGGGAGGCAGAGGCAGGCAGUCCCUGAAAGCAGAGUCAUACAAAUGUAAGAAGAGCCUGCUGGAUCAGGCCAAUGGCCCAUCCUAGUCCAGCAUCCUGUUCUCACAGAUGCCUGUGGGAAACCCACGAGCAGGACCAGAGCACAAGAAAAGUCUCCCCUCCUGUGGCUUCUGAGCAACUAGUUUUCAGAAGUAUUGCUGCCUUGGCACGUGUAGGCAGAGCAUAGCCAUCAGGACUAGAAGCCAUUGAUAGC